UCCUAAGCUUGUUGUGGCUGCCA
rnacentral:siRNA from 1 species